GCCGUGGGAGCGGAGGGUGGCCGGGAGGCGGUGGGGGAAGCUUUUGGCACAGGGAUGGCAGAGGAGCCCUGAGGGCACCUUGCUGCAGGGGCAGAGGCCACGGGCGGGGACAGAGGGACGCGCGUUCCCCUGGGAGAGCGCAAAACGAAGCAGCAGGCUGAGCGAAGGACGUGGUGUUCACACAUCAUCCCGCAGUGGAAUAGCAUCAGAAGCAUCACCACAGAUUUCUUCCUUUGGACAUUUGUGUAUGGUUUUCUUUCUUGCAUUUGUACGGUCAGAGAAACGUCAUAGUUCUUUCGUCUUGUUUCUCUGAUUUUUAUUCCAUUCAGGUGACAGCUUGCUGAAUUUGGAUGCAGUAGCUCUGUAAAAUUAUUAGUACCCUUAAGAAUUCUCCACCGCCCCCGCCAGUUGCCAUUUUGUAGAGCUUUUGUGUAAAGUGUGCCCAACUGGUUUAAAAGUUUAAUAUUUUCCCCAUAAAGCAGUUUGAGAAGAUUUUGUACUGUCUUUCCUUUGAAAAAUGUCCGUGACAGUUACCCGGAAAACACAAACAGGAGAAACAGAGUGUUUUCCUUUUGUCAAACCAUUCUCUCGCACAGGUCGGUGAGGUGUAACGGUGGAAACCAUAAGCUUGGGUUGAGUGUGUAGUAACUUAGGCACUGCUGUGUUGCAUAUCCCUAAAUACAAGUCAAGCCAUUUUCUUCUUUUUCCUUAGCAAUGUAAAUAUAAUCUCACGGGGGAGGGGAAAAAAAAAGAGAAAAAAAAAAAAAAAAAAAGACUGAACGAAUUUUAAGAAUUCCUAAUAAAUAAUAAGCUUAUUCUAAUAAAGGUAUCCAUGAAUGUUAAAAACUAACUAGGAAGUGUUAAAACCUACCAGGAAAAAAAAAGAGAAUGGCAAAUAUAUUUAACCUUUUUUCCCCUAAUGUUUUUCUCCCAUUUGUUCUUUCUGAGCUCAGCUGGUGUAUUAAAGGAGUUAAUGACGAUAAUGAGCUUACAUUUACAGUGCCUUUCUUCUUGAAGAGUCCCAAAGGGCAUUACAAACAGAUAUGAUAAAUUCACCGCUUGUUCUUAAAGGGUACUGGGGAUUUUUGCUGCUGGCGUUUAUAUGACAGGAGCUAGCAAACAUACUGCCCUUCUACAUACUUCUGCAAGAAAUAUGGAUCAUCAAGAAGAAGGUUAAGCAGUGUUUGGUUGACAUCGCUGAUCCUGUAAAGGGUUCAUAGAAUCACAGAAUGGUUUGCGUGGGAAGGGGCCUUCAAGAUCAUCUGGUUCCAGCCCUCUGGCCAUGUACCUUCCAUAGACCAGCAUGCUCAGAGCCCCAUGCAGCCUUGCCUGGAACACUUCCAGGGACAGGACAUCCACAGCUGCUCUGGGGAACUUGUUCCUUACCAGCCUCACAGUAAAGGAUUUCUUCCUAAUACCUAAUCUAAAAGGACUCUCUUUCAUUUUGAAGCCACUCCCCCUUGUCCUAUCACUACGUGCCCUUGUGUCUCUAUGCUGCUUUAAGGUCUCCCCGGAGCCUUUUCUUCUCCAGCCUGUCUUGGUAGGAGAGGUCCUUCAUCCCUCUAAUUAUCUUUGUGGCCCUUUUCUGGUCUAGCCCCAACAGGAGGCCUGUGUUCUUGUCAUGUUGGUGUCCCCAGAGCUGAACACAGCACUCCCGGUGCGGUCUCACCAGAGCAGAGCAGAGGGGCAGAAUCCCCUCCCUCAACCUGCUGGCCACACUUUGGGUGCAUCCCAGAAUACUGUUAGCAAUGCUCAACAGUUCAUCACUGAAGAAGAAAGAGUAUAUUUCCCAAAACAACUUCUGACUUUUUGGUUUUGAACUAUGGUGUGCUCAGCUGCUUUACACUUGUUCAGGCAGAUAGAAGAGGACAACUUUUUUGUCCAUAAAAAACACAGAUUUACUUAUCCUGUUUUCUUACAUCUCACUGGAUUUUGUUGUGUAUUCUGUCAUAGUAAUCUAAGUUUGAAAAGAGCAUAAUUAUUGUGAUGUGGUAUCAUUGGCUUUUUUACUUCAGGCAGAUAAAUGUACUCUAAUCAACAGGAGGAAUUUUGUUGUUGAAUUCAGUUUCUUAUAUGGUGGGGCCAGGCUCUAUAACAAAUGCUGAAAAUUUUGAAAUUUGAACUCGAAAAGAAUUUGAAGUUUAAUGAUAAAAAGUUUCUUAUAAUUAGCAUUUUGUGCAUUUAUUGACAUCCAUUAGGAAACCUUCAGAUAGCUCCUCAGUAUAGAUUGCUCUUCCUGUCUAGUUUCACAUUUUAAAUUAUAAUGCUUUUCCCUUUAACCUUUCUCAUUUGCUGAAGUUUGAAUUCUGUUUUAAAGGAUAAAUGUCAUUGCUCAUGUCACACAGUCCAAGUAAAUUUGUUUGAUAGGUUAUCCUUGUUUUAAAAGAGAAGUUCAGCAACUAUUCAAUUACAGUUAGUAAUUAAAAAACCCCAAGUAUAUAUGUUACAUGGAAAACUGUGAUGUGGUUGAUACUUGCAUUGCUGAUUUUCUGUCCUUUUUUAUCCAAAAGGCAGAAUGAUGUAUUGAAUAUUUACCAGCAGUAAAAAUUGGGUUGAGAAGUCAUGGACUCUUUUUUUACGGUGAAUGACUUGAGGAAUAAGUUAUUUUUCUAUGAUGUGGAGCUGUGGGAAAGAGUAUCUAUUAUCAGUGGUUAUCCUUGAUAGAACGUAGUUUAAGGCAAUGAGGGUGAAGCCAAUGUGUGAUGUCCAUCCACAAAAAUUCAUUCUAUUUCAGUCUCUUCUGUUAGCAUCAUUCCUUUUACCCUUAUGAUCAUCUUCACAAGUUUCUGUACAGAAAGUGCUCAAACAGUAAAGGUCUCAAUACUAAAGGUGAGAUGAAAAGACUUACUUUUUUUUCUUUGUCUGGCUAUAAAAUUCAGAUCAGUAAAAAAACCCAAACCCAAAAACACAACACCUUUCCUUCUUAAAAGCUUAUCUGAGUUUUUCACUGUAAUUGGCAAGAAGUGUCGAAAGGCAGUAAGAGUCAUAUGGACACAGUUUAAACCUUUACAGACUGUGAAAGUGUUGGAUCAUUUUCAGCCUGAGAGAUUUUUCUUUAAGCAUCCACCAUGGUGAAAUUCUUAAUCAUUGCAUUUCAGAGAAUUCUUAGAUAUUUGUUUGUUUGUGUGGGGUUUGUUUGAUUUUGCUUAGCUGCUUUAUACAAAGUAUUUCUUUCUAUAUCUACCAGAGUUUGACUAUUUCAGCUCAUUUGAAUUGGAGCUAUAAACCCUAAAAAGCACAAACUGGUAUUCAAGGUUUCAAGUUAGACUGCCACUGUGAUAUAGAUACUCAGCAUGAAUGUUGCUGCCGUGUCACUUCUUGCCCUAGUUUGUUAUUUAAUGCAAACCUGAAGUUCAAGGGAAAUUAAGAUCUGAACUGUGGUAACUUCUUAUUUAUGCUCCAUGAACUCUGGAAGAUCUUUAAGGCCACAACAAAGGUUUCACUCAUGGAAGAAACCGAGAAACUGAUUGUGGAGAAACUGCGGGAAGACUGAGAGCUCCACGAUUUCCAGUUGCAACCAUACUGAGGAAUUCCAAAGAAUUUCAAAAGGUUUUGGCAGCACUGCUGUCCUUGGGAUGGCCAAGAUUGCCCAGCACAGCAGCACCUCCUCUCAUCCAGCUGCAGUCCAGCCAAGAGUGGGUGAUCACAUGUAUCUCAGAGUGGCAGAGGUAGUUGGCAUCCUAGUAGCUAGUUUUAAGCAGCCUUGUGCAGCUAUAAGGAGAAAUUAAGAAAAUGAGAGGAAGGGGAGAUGAGAAAGACUCCAAAAGACAAAGAAGGAGAGAAAUCAAGGCUGGCAGAAAAAAAGUAGUCUUGAGUGAGGAAGAAGGGAUUCUCUUGAGAGAAUAUGAGGAAAGAAGAAGAGCUUAAAGAAUAGAAUGGAGAAGGGAGACACUAUAGUAUAGACACUGUCUCAUCCCUUGAAAUCAAAAAGCAGACAUCUUGAGAUUAUUUGUUCCUAGCCCUUUUGAGAUUUUUCUGUACUUUGGUAUGCUAAAAUGUAUUUAAUAGUUAACAGAACCUUAUGUUUUUUUACAGGCAGAUGAUUUUCUCCUUUCCUAUGCCACAUUAAACUACUAAAUAUGCAUCUUGGACAUGCACUAACUUUUGUGUCGUAUGAAGUGCACUCCAAACAGUCGUAUGUAUCAUAAAUAACAUAUAUUAAUUGCCCCUUAAUUGCUAGGCUAAGUGUAGGCCAUUGCUUUGACUGUAGGAGAUGUUUGGUUUUUUCUGCUCUGAGCUCUGUCUUCUACAAUGCAAUAGCUUGGUACUUCACUCUUUUAUUUUAUUUUAUUUAUUUAGUCUUCAGGUUUUUUUAUUUUCUGCCACUUUAACAUUACUCUCAGUACUUUCAUCUGCCAAGGUAAUUUACCUAUUGUGUACCUUUUCUUUGAGCUUAUUAAUGAAGUUAUUAAAAUAAGAAACCACCUUGCAGUAUGCCUACCCCUGCCUACUUCCCCAUAACUUAGCGCAAUUUGCUGCCGUUUCUCAUCAGCCAGUGUUUGUGAUUCUUCAGCCUGUUUCCAAUUUACAUGACAGUGCUUACGUCCGAAGCAAUUUGGAUUCAUUUUGGGAGAUUUAGUAAGACACUGUAUUAAACCCUUUAUUAAAAUCAUGCUGUGUAUCCCUCAUCCAGGGUUUUUGCAGUUCUAUCAAAAAACCAAUCACGUUUCCUUGGCACGACAUGUUCCUUAUGAACCCAUGCUGCUUAUUGCUCAUUGUACCAUUAUCCUUUGAAUGUUCAGAGGAGUGUUUCAGAGUCAUGAGUUUUGUUUCUUUUUUCUGUUUAUUUUCUUUUUCCCCUCAGCAAAUGUUCUGUUCUUUCUCAUUACAGAAUAUGCUUGAAAUUAAACUCCUUGUUUAAUAAGCCACACUUCUUCCCUUUAUUGAUGUUUGAGGCUAUAUUUCCUAUGCUAUAUGACUUUUCAGAAAUAGUUUUUGAUGGCUUACUGUUUUCAGUGUGCACUUAGGGAUGCCUUUGAUGUGGGCUAAUUGACUAGAUACAACUGUUUUUCUUACUUUUGUGCCAUCCAUAGCAAUUUUUUCUUUCUUGUCCUGAUUUUGGCUAGGAUAGAGUUAAUUUUUUUCCUAGCAGCUGGUGCAGUGCUGUGUUUUGGAUUCAAGAAGAAUGUUUUAACACAUUGAUGUUUUAAUUGUUGCAUAUUACUGCUUACCCUAAGUCAAGGACAUUUCAGUUGGUUCGUGCUCUGCUGAUGAGGAGCUGCGUAGGAAGCUGGGAGGGAACAUGGCCAGGACAGGUGACCUGAACUGGUGAAAAGGAUGUUCCAUACCACAGAACAUCAUCCCUGUAUAUAAACUGGGAGAAGUUGCCCGGGAGCCUGGGAGCUGCUUGAGGAUGGGCUGGGCAUUGGUCAAUGGAUGCUCAGCAGCUGUCUUGUGCAUCACUUGUUUCUCUUGGGUUUUAUUCCUCUCUUGGUUUUAUAUCAUUAUUAUUACUGUUGUUACUACUAUUAUAUUUUACUUUAUUUUAAUUAACAAAAUCCUCUUAUCUCAACCCACAGGCUGUACCUUUUUGUGAUCCUCUUUCCCAUCCCACCGGGGAAGGAGACCUGGGGAGUGAGGCAGGGGCUGUGUGGUACUAAGUUCCCAGCUGUGGUUAAACCAUGGUACUUGUUUUUGGUCAAACGUACUUUCAAUGAGAACAAAAAGUAAAUACAUAUAUGUGGGAAACACUAGUUUUGCCCACCUCGUUCUCACCAAAGUAGCCCUACAUUUGAACUGUGUUUGCAUUUAUUUUAUAUCUUUUAACAAUUUCCUUUGGUAUCAUUAACUUGUUCUUGACUUUAUCCUGAGAGCCAUUGAACACUUUAACAGAGUUCCAGUGAAAUUGUAAGAAUAUAUUUCCUUUUCAUUGCUCAAGUCAUCCUGCAGGAAUUUGGAUAUUCCGUUUUUCAUCUUUUCCCUGAAGAGUAGCCCACUGUAUGUAUUGUCUUCAUAAGUAAACACAACACCCUAGGGAGAAGAGUUGUUUGAAACUAUAAUAAAUGUCAUACACAUUCUCCCUUUCAUGACUUAUUUGUUCUCUGUUAGGGACAGAUACAGAGUCUGUUAAUGUUGUAGACAAUUAAUUUUUAUCACACCCUUACUUGCCAAAUGUAAUAUUUUGGCUUAGAGUUCUCUUUUCUGUUUUGGUUUGCUUUGGGUUUUUUUAUUUUAUUUUUUCCUAUUUUUUUUUUUCUUUUUCCUCUCUCCCCCCUCUGUAUCCCAUGAUGAUUGAUAACUUCUGAAGGAUGACAGGGAAUAAGGAAAUCAGCUAACUGCAUCUCAGCAGCUGGUGGGUUACUUUUUGUACAUUUUUAUGUUAUAACCUUGUGAAAACAUUUCUGCAACUUCUUGUAGAUAUUCUAUAUUAGAAAAAAAUCUAUAUUUGUUUUAAACGCUGAAAUCCUUGUCUUCUACAGCAUUGUUCCAAUUUACCAGCAUCUAUUAUUGAGGACAUAGUAUAGAGUCACUGGUAAUGUCAGCAGGUCAUUAAGGAGAAGAAGCAGUCAGGGAUGCCAGCUCUUUUGUCACUGGUCUUAUGAAUCACAGAUGUCCAGGACCACAGAAGGCAUCUGAGGGUGUUGGUAAAAGCUGCCUGUGGUGAUGUUAAAUCAGGCUGUGCUUUUUCUACAUAAAUAGCAGCACACUUAUCUCUGUAUAGGUGUAAACCUCAGUUUGCUGCAUCAGUUAGUAUAUUCUUCUCUUAAAAUCAUCAGCAAAUACCCUGAUUUAAGUAAUGACCUUUGGUACCAGAACAUGUCUGUCAAAUAAAAUAUCAUUAGGAGGCACUUGUUAUUUGUGCUCAGUAAUAAAUUCUAGUAUACUCUUUACAAGACUGAAAAUAUCUUGUCACUGAGACCAUGGUCAUUUCCCGUGGCAGAAACAUGUUCACUUGAGUGGUAAGUAAAUUACUUGUACAGUGGGACACAAUUUUUGCUGUGGCUGUUCUUUGCUUACUAGGCCAGCAAAGACAGAGAGAGGUAAAGUAAAUUUCCUUUUAGCUACUUUGACUCUAAAACAUCUAAAAACUGCUUUGAGGUUGAGGGAUGCUUACAGAAAUAGUGCUCUGGACUGUCAUCUGCAGCCCUCUUUCCUCCUGAGGGGUGUCACAGAGCCGUGCUAGAUGAUGUUUGGCCAUCAGAUACUUUCUUAAAUCAGGGAAAACUCAUUUGCCUUGUUUUAGCUGCUUUUUAAUAUGUGUAGUUUGUAGCACAAGGAGACCAGGAAAAAAAAAAUAAAAGGUCAAGGAUCCAGUCUGAUCACUGUAAAGAGCUUUAGAAACGUGUUGUUGACCUCCCAAAGAACUUAAUUCCAUGGAAGCCUGAACAGCAGAGAAAGCCAUAUGUUUUCUGGAAGAAAAAUAUAUUAUUGGCUGGAAGAGGUUAUUGCAGUUGUUUUAAAAAAUAGUAAUUCAAAUUUCCAAAUAAAAUAAUCUUGAAUCCCCUUUCAAAUGACUAUGGUUUGAAAGAAAGCUAAUGGCAAUUAUUUUUCUCUCUACCUUUAGUUCUAGAAUGUAAGUUAAGGGUUAUUAAAUCUAAUUGUGAAAUUAAUAUUAUCUCUUUUGAUAAUGCUUAUUUUUUUUCUUAGCAUCCAUUGUGAAACUGUAUUUCAUUUGGGUGUUGGCAAAAUGGUAGCUUCCUGUAGAGCGAAACACAUAUGCAUUUCAUGUGGAACACAUGUACCAUAUAUGAGCCUGGUUGAACUCUAUCUUGCUGUGAGCUAAGUCUUCUGUCACAUCCCCUCCCACUUUUUAAAGCAAAAAGUGUUGAAUGACCUCGGGAUCCCCACCACCAAGAAGCCCAGGGUGAAGAAGGACCGACGAGAUACUGUUGGAUCCACAGAAAAGAACAAAUAGAGCUUCAUAUGAAUAUCAAGCAAAAAGGAUCCAUGUCUUUGAAGCCCUGAAGCUCCUUUCUCUGAGCCAAGAGAAACUCCAAUGCAAAAGUGAAAUGCAGAAGAACUUGUUAAAGUAUAUUAAUCAUGAA